CUCAGAGUCAGUGGUGGUAGCUUCCUGCCGCCAAAUCUCCCUCCGUCUCGUCUUCUCUGGGGCUUCAAUCUUUCCACUGACAUUCAGGAGAACGUUAACUACAACUUUUUCGGGUUUAACCUGAAUCUGCAUCAAAGGAAGGAGGCCCUGAAGAUUCCUGAGGACUUGCAGGAUGAUGGCACUUCCAGUCGCUUGCCUUCAGGAGAGCAUUGGAAGGUCUUCAUAAAGACCAACAGGCCUUUCCUCUGCUCUCCUUCUGGACUCCAUCGCUUCAGGACAAAGCUGGGACCACUUCUCAGGACUGACUUUUGGACUCUCUGACUCUGCCUCCUGUCCAGUGUUUCCUAAAUUCUCCCGUUACAGUAAAUGGAAUUGAGAGAAGUCAUCAUUCCAAAGACUGAAAACCCUGAGGUGAUGGUCAACUGGUCUCAUGCCCACAUCUGAACUGGUUGCAUUGGGAAUGGCCCGGCUGGGUCACUCACUACGGCCCUUUGUGGUUAGUGAGUUGAGUUGUUGUUGUUAUUGUUGUUGUUGUUGUUGUGCUGGUCUUUGUUGCUGCUUGGGCUGCUCUCUAGUUUCAUGCG
ensembl:lncRNA